CUGUAGUUUCCUGUAUUGAACCCGCGGCCCUUUCAAAGUGAUAAAGCGUUCGACAGCGCGAGGAAGACGCGCGGAUCCGGGCGCGGCGGAUCUGCCGGCCGGUGCGGCGGCUUGCUCCGGUGGCGGCGGCGAUGUCUUGCUCAUCCAGUUAAAGAGAGAGACAGGGUGUGAGGGGGAGAGGAAAGAGAGGAAGGCAUAGAAGGAGAAGUGUCGCAAGAUGAGGGAGGGAUCUCGCGGCAGGUGCGGGGGCUUGCUCGCAGCGGCGUCCGUCUCGUCCAGAGAAAGAGAGAGACAGGGCAUGAGGGAGAGAGGAAAAAGAGGAAGAAAGGAGAAGGAGAAUGGGCGCAAGGUGACGGAGACGGUCGCUGGCGGUGGCGCCUCCGGUGACCGGCCGGCGGCAGGGCGACCUGCACUUGGAGGAGGAGAACUGCGCAAGAUGGAUUCCAGCACCCUCCUACUCAUAUAAUGUACAGGAGCUUCAAGACAAAGGGCAUCAGGCUUCACGGCAACACAUUUAUCUAUAACUUUCUCCCCAAAUCUGAAAGUAUUUGGCCCCUAAAUUCUAAUUCUCAUUAGAAAGUCAGAGUAUUUGUGGAAUAUGGUCUAUGAAUAUUGACAAAUUUGAUUGCAGCAGGGGCGACAAAGUUAGUGCAGUCCUCACCGUGCACAUAUAUUUCAGGGUAAAAUCAAACUUCAGUUAGAAGGACAUGAUCAGGCAGGAGAUUCAUGCAGCAUUGGAUGUGAGAGGCCCUAAAUGCAUUUAGCAUGUGAAAAGAUGUGUUUAGUAUUGUUCCAAGUUGUUACCUUUCGAAAAGAGAACGCAACAGGGAUAAUUUUUUCUUCGAAGCACGAGUUAACCACAAGGAAUCUCCAUGCUUUUGCACCGGGUGUGAAAUCAACUUUGAAAAAUUGACAUGGCUAUUGUUUUUGCUUUUCCUGCUCAAGACAACAAAGGGAUUGUUCAGGCUGAUUUGUGUUUGUGCAGACAGACCUCAAGGAACCUCUGCCGAAGAUUUACGUGGUGAAGGACUCGAACUGUAUCUCACGUCCACUCGGCCACACCUGGGUUGGCUGCCAACAGCCCUCUGAUUGAACAACUGCUCCGUCUAUCCGAGUCUCUGUCGGUCGGCUGUUCUUCUCGGACAUCACCAUACAGCUCCUCAGCAGCAAACUCAUGUGCUUCUCCACCAGAAUCAAUUCCCGAGCUGUUGAUAUCCCCUAUUCCUCUAAGGAUAUGCCCAUGGUAAUUUUUUCCACAAGACGAGUGUUGCAGUAUUUGUAUGAACUGGAGUACUGUACUGUUGCAGUAGUGUACAACUGUACAUACAUGGUUUGAAAAUCCUUUCUUUUUCAGUUAUAUAUUAGAAUGGAAUUUGUACGGCUUGGACUGCAUUUUCACAAUCAAUAUGGUGUGUUCAAGUAGUGUAAAUUGUUUAACUUGCUUUUUGGCCAGUAUCCCGAUAUAUGUGGAUGUAUCGUUGCUUUUUACAAUCAAUUUGUAAUGUUGCUUAAUGUACCGUUUGGUCUGCUUUUUUGGUCUGUAUCCCUGAA